rnacentral:rRNA from 1 species
GACGAACGCUGGUGGCGUGCUUAACACAUGCAAGUCGAACGAAGUGGCGAACGGGUGAGUAACGCGUAAUCCACCUGCCCUUCAGAGGGGGAAAACAGUUGGCAACGACUGCUAAUACCGCAUACUGAAGGAGGGGCUUGCGUCGGAUUAGCUAGGUGGAGGGGUAACGGCCCACCAAGGGGAUGAACAGUAGCCGGGCUGAGAGAAUGAACGGCCAGAUUGGGACUGAGACACGGCCCAGAAUCCUACGGGAGGCAGCAGUUGGGAAUCUUCCGCAAUGGACGAAAGACUGACGGAGCAACGCCGCGUGAGUGAUGACGGCCUUCGGGUUGGAAAGCUCUGUUAAUCGGGACGCGGUACCGGAAUAGAAAGCCACAGCUAACUACGUGCCAGCCGCCGCGGUAAUAC